rnacentral:misc_RNA from 1 species
UUUCCGUAGGUGAACCUGCGGGAGGAUCAUUAUUGUAUAACCGGGUGUCGAGGUCUGACGCGUACACGACAGGUCGUUAACGCCCGAGUGCCCUCACACAAAUCAAUCUCACCCCUAUGUGCACCACCACGUGGUUGCCCCUUUGUCUUGUUCUGAGGCAGCCUUACGAUUUCGGACAAACUAUGUAUGCAAUGUAGAAUGUAUUUGUUGAUUUUGCGUUCACGCAAGCUAUAGAACUUUCAACAACGGAUCUCUUUGCUCUCGCAUCGAAGAAGAACC